rnacentral:tRNA from 1 species
GGGAGAAGCCCCGGGACCCUUUCUGGGUCCUAUUCCAAAUUUGCACUUUGGCGUAUGACUCNGG